rnacentral:rRNA from 2 species
GCAAGUCGAACGAAGUCGCCCAAUUGAUUCUUAGUGCUUGCAUUAAGAUGAUUUUGGAUCCGACUGAGUGGCGAACUGGUGAGUAACACGUGGGUAACCUGCCCAGAAGAAGGGGAUAACACCUGGAAACAGAUGCUAAUACCGUAUAACAACAAGAACCACAUGGUUCUUGUUUGAAAGCUGGCCUUUGUGCUAGUGCUUCUGGAUGGACCCGCGGCGUAUUAGCUAGUUGGUGAGAUAAUAGCUCACCAAGGCAAUGAUACGUAGCAGACCUGAGAGGGUAAUCUGCCACAAUGGGACUGAGACACGGCCCAUACUCCUACGGGAGGCAGCAGUAGGGAAUCUUCCACAAUGGACGAAAGUCUGAUGGAGCAACGCCGCGUGAGUGAAGAAGGGUUUCGGCUCGUAAAACUCUGUUGUUAGAGAAGAACAGCCGUGAGAGCAACUGCUCACGGUAUGACGGUAUCUAACCAGAAAGUCACGGCUAACUACGUGCCAGCAGCCGCGGUAAUACGUAGGUGGCAAACGUUGUCCGGAUUUAUUGGGCGUAAAGGGAGCGCAGGCGGUUUAUUAAGUCUGAUGUGAAAGCCUUCGGCUUAACCGGAGAAGUGCAUCGGAAACUGAUAAACUUGAGUGCAGAAAAGGAUAGUGGAACUUCAUGUGUAGCGGUGAAAUGCGUAGAUAUAUGAAGGAACACCAGUGGCGAAGGCGGCUAUCUGGUCUGUAACUGACGCUGAGGCUCGAAAGCAUGGGUAGCAAACAGGAUUAGAUACCCUGGUAGUCCAUGCCGUAAACGAUGAAUGCUAGGUGUUGGAAGGUUUCCGCCUUUCAGUGCCGCAGCUAACGCAUUAAGCAUUCCGCCUGGGGAGUACGACCGCAAGGUUG